GGAAAUGCGUAGAUAUCGGGAGGAACACCAGUGGGCGGAAAGCGGCUUUCUGGACUGUUUCUGACACUCAGACACGAAAGCUAGGGGUAGCAAACGGGGAUUGGAGACCCCGGUAGUCCUAGCGGUAAAGGGAUGUGAACUUGGCGUCGGCGGGUUCAAAGCCGUGGGUGCCGUAGCUAACGCGGAUAAGUUCACCGCCUGGGGACUACGGCCGCAAGGUUAAAACUCAAAGGAAUUGACGGGUCCCCGCACAAGCAGCGGGAGCGUGUGGUUUAAUUGGAUGUUACACGAAGAACCUUACCCAGGUUUGACAUGUUGGUGGUAGGGAAGCGAAAGCAGACCGACCCGCAAGGGAGCCUUCACAGGUGUUGCAUGGCUGUCGUCAGCUCGUGUCGUGAGAUGUUCGGUUAAGUCCGCCAACGAGCGCAACCCUCGCCGUAUGUUACAAGUGUCAUACGGGACCGCCGGUAUCAAGCCGGAGGAAGGUGGGGAUGACGUCAAGUCAGCAUGGCCUUUAUAUCUGGGGCUACACACACGCUACAAUGGCCGGUACAAUGGGUCGCUAAGCCGCGAGGUAGAGCCAAUCCCUAAAGCCGGCCUCAGUUCAGAUCACAGGCUGCAACCCGCCUGUGUGAAGUCGGAGUUGCUAGUAAACGCGCGUCAGCUAUAGUGCGUUGAAUACGUUCCCGGGGAUUGUACACACCGCCCGUCACGUCAUGGGAGCUGGCAACACCUGAAGCCUGUAGCCUAACCGCAAGGAGGGCGCAGUCGAGGGUGGGGUCGGUGACUGGGACGAAGUCGUAACAAGGUA
rnacentral:rRNA from 1 species